AUUAAAAAUUUAUAAAAUGUUAAAACUAGGUUCCAAUGUAAUAGCAUAUGAACUGAAAACGUUUUGAUAUACAUUUUGAGGUAAAUCAGGAAAAUCAGGUGUCUGAGAUAAUGUCCUUUAGUCUUUGUGCUCUUCCUUGCCAUUUGGUUUUUUUAAGCUCAAGACACAGCUGUGCCUUUUGUCUCUGAUACUGUCAGGCACCUCUGUAUUUAAAUGACACUGUUAUGCUGAUAAGAUCAAGGCUGGGAAGUUGCCAGUGUCUGGAAUCUUCCUGAUUGCAUUUGCAUGCUUUGUUAAAAUGGUCUCCACCUCUACUGUAUGGAUCCCUCCCACUUGAAUGUAUAAAAACUACAAUGUCUUAAGGACAAAUUAGACUAUUGAUGACUGCAGCGCCACGCAGAGCGUUCUCAAUAAAAGAAUCCUGCUGAAGAUUACCCAAGAGUCUCCUGGUCUUCGUUUCUGAGUUCCCAACAUUUUUUGGUGCCGUGACCCGGAUAGAGCUUCUCACCUGAAUCCAGAUUGAAACUGCAACCUCAACAAAUAUCAGACUUCAUUCCAGACUGAAUCUUUCUUUACAACCAAUGGUUGGUAUGCACGCAUGAGAAGUCAUUUCCAUAUGUGACAUCCUAGUGUAAAGCAUCACUUCAGACAUCCGUGAACAAGCUUCAUGAGGACAAAGAGUUAUCUGAGUGAAUCUACGUGCGAAAUGGACUACAGAAAACAGACUUCACAGCUAUUCGGACGCCAUGGACUUCAAGACUUCCACUCCUAUGCUACAUGAUUUUUUCUGUGUCAUCAUGUAGUUUUUACAACGUGUUACCAUCCAUACCAUAUGUGUCAACAGUUAUGGUUCUAAAAAUACACCUAAGUAAAUCUAGUACAAGACACAGAAUAAGUUAAACGUGCCUGUAACCUUUUCAAGUCACAUGACUGAAGAUGGGGCUUAUGUUAACAAACAGGCCAUAGAAUGGACUUAUGAAAGUUUAAAUUUGUAUUAUGUGAGAGUUAUUAGAACUCUCAACGGGAGGACUGUGGGAUUGCAAAUUUAGAAAAUGUUAAAUCUAGGUUCCAAUAUAAUAGUAGAGUUUUUGGGGUAAUAAAGUUGACAUCCAAGAAGCUCAAAUCAGGAAAAUCAAGUGUCUGAGACAUUAACCUUUUGUCUUUGUGCUCUUCCUUGCCAUUUGGUUUUUUUAAGCUCAAGACACAGAUGUGCCUUUUGUCUCUGAUACUGUCAGGCACCUCUGUAUUUAAAUGACACUGUUAUGCUGAUAAGAUCAAGGCUGGGAAGUUGCCAGUGUCUGGAAUCUUCCUGAUUGCAUUUGCAUGCUUUGUUAAAAUGGUCUCCACCUCUACUGUAUGGAUCCCUCCCACUUGAAUGUAUAAAAACUACAAUGUCUUAAGGACAAGUUAGACUAUUGAUGACUACAGCGCCACGCAGAGCGUUCUCAAUAAAAGAAUCCUGCUGAAGAUUA